rnacentral:rRNA from 1 species
UACGUAGGGUGCAAGCGUUAAUCGGAAUUACUGGGCGUAAAGCGUGCGCAGGCGGUUGUGCAAGACCGAUGUGAAAUCCCCGGGCUUAACCUGGGAAUGGCAUUGGUGACUGCACGGCUAGAGUGUGUCAGAGGGGGGUAGAAUUCCACGUGUAGCAGUGAAAUGCGUAGAGAUGUGGAGGAAUACCGAUGGCGAAGGCAGCCCCCUGAGAUAACACUGACGCUCAUGCACGAAAGCGUGGGGAGCAAACAGG